rnacentral:rRNA from 1 species
AUUGAACGCUGGCGGCAUGCUUUACACAUGCAAGUCGAACGGCAGCGCGGGCUUCGUCCUGGCUGCUAGUGGCGUACGGGUGAGUAAUCCACCAGAACCUGCCCCGUAGUGUGGAAUAGCACGGCUAACACCGGCUUAAUACCUCAUACCACCUGACGGUGAACGCCGGGGGUCUUCGGACCUCGCGCUUUUGGAGCGGCCGUUGGCAGAAUAGCUAGUUGGUGGGGUAAAGGCCUACCGAGGCGACGAUCUGUAGCUGGUCUGAGAGGGCGACAAGCCACACGGGGAGUGAGAAUCGGCCCGGACUACUACGGGAGGCAGCAGUGGGGAAUUUUGGACAAUGGGCGAAAGCCUGAUACAGCAAUGCGGCGUGUGUGAUGAAGGCCUUCGGGUUGUAAAGCACUUUUGGCGGGAACGAAAAGGACUGUGCUAAUACCACGGUUCGAUGACGGUACCCGGAGAAUAAGCACCGGCUAACUACGUG